UUUUAAAAUUUGAAAUCUUAUCCAUAAACCCCACUCCCCAACUCUAAAUCCUAAAACCUAAACACUAAGCCCUAAACCCUAAACUCUAAACCCUAAACCCUAAAUCCUAAACCUUAUCCCUUAACUCUAAACCCUAAACCCUAAACUCCACCUCUAAAUUCUAAACCCUAAACCCUAAACUCUAAACCCUAAACCCUAAAUCC
rnacentral:lncRNA from 1 species